UGUGGCUCAAGUAGAGGCCUUGA
rnacentral:piRNA from 1 species